UGGUCUAGUGGUCAGAACGCUGGCCUUGUAAUCCUGGGGUCCCGGGUUCAAUUCCCGG
rfam:Zootermopsis nevadensis contig33049, whole genome shotgun sequence.